rnacentral:rRNA from 1 species
AUUGAACGCUGGCGGCAGGCUUAACACAUGCAAGUCGAGCGGAGACUUCGGUCUUAGCGGCGAACGGGUGAGGAAUGCCUGGGAAUCUGCCUGGUAGUGGGGGAUAACGUUCCGAAAGGAACGCUAAUACCGCAUACGUCCUACGGGAGAAAGCAGGGGACCUUCGGGCCUUGCGCUAUCAGAUGAGCCCAGGUCGGAUUAGCUAGUAGGUGAGGUAAAGGCUCACCUAGGCGACGAUCCGUAGCUGGUCUGAGAGGAUGAUCAGCCACACUGGAACCUGAGACACGGUCCAGACUCCUAC